rnacentral:rRNA from 1 species
CACGUAGGGCGCAAGCGUUGUCCGGAAUUAUUGGGCGUAAAGAGCUCGUAGGCGGUCUGUUGCGUCCGCUGUGAAAUCUCGGGGCUUAACCCCGAGCCUGCAGUGGAUACGGGCAGACUAGAGGUAGGUAGGGGAGAAUGGAAUUCCCGGUGUAGCGGUGAAAUGCGCAGAUAUCAGGAGGAACACCGAUGGCGAAGGCAGGUCUCUGGGCCACUACUGACGCUGAGAAGCGAAAGCAUGGGGAGCGAACAGG